UACGUAGGGUGCAAGCGUUGUCCGGAAUUAUUGGGCGUAAAGAGCUCGUAGGCGGACUGUCACGUCUGCUGUGAAAAGCUGGGGCUUAACCCUGGCCUUGCAGUGGAUACGGGCAGACUAGAGGUAGGUAGGGGAGAAUGGAAUUCCCGGUGUAGCGGUGAAAUGCGCAGAUAUCGGGAGGAACACCGGUGGCGAAGGCGGUUCUCUGGGCCUUACCUGGCGCUGAGGAGCGAAGUGUGGGGAGCGAACAGGG
rnacentral:rRNA from 1 species